rnacentral:lncRNA from 1 species
UAGAAAGACCUGAACAUCUCUUAAUCACCUCUGUUUCAGACCAUCACAAAUAGGGCUCCAUUCCAUGGGCUUCAAAUCACCAAGAGGGAGACUACUGCAAUUUCAGCUACAAUAGUCUGAUGGAUAAAUCCCUUAUCCCAUCCCGUUUGCUUAAUCCAGGAUUCUGAAAAAUGUUCACGUAUCAGAAAAGUGCCAUAAUAAGUUUGCACUGGUGUGCGUGGAUAGCCUUUGGUCUCGAAAAUUACUCUGCUAAAAAAGACUGCAUGUGA